ACGAACGCUGGCGGCGUGCUUAACACAUGCAAGUCGCACGGGAAGGCCCUGCUUUUGUGGGGUGCUCGAGUGGCGAACGGGUGAGUAACACGUGAGUAACCUGCCCUUGACUUUGGGAUAACUUCAGGAAACUGGGGCUAAUACCGGAUAGGAGCUCCUGCUGCAUGGUGGGGGUUGGAAAGUUUCGGCGGUUGGGGAUGGACUCGCGGCUUAUCAGCUUGUUGGUGGGGUAGUGGCUUACCAAGGCUUUGACGGGUAGCCGGCCUGAGAGGGUGACCGGCAACAUUGGGACUGAGAUACGGCCCAGACUCCUACGGGAGGCAGCAGUGGGGAAUAUUGCACAAUGGGCGGAAGCCUGAUGCAGCAACGCCGCGUGCGGGAUGACGGCCUUCGGGUUGUAAACCGCUUUCGCCUGUGACGAAGCGUGAGUGACGGUAAUGGGUAAAGAAGCACCGGCUAACUACGUG
rnacentral:rRNA from 1 species